UACGGAGGGUGCAAGCGUUAUCCGGAUUUACUGGGUUUAAAGGGUGCGUAGAUGGCCUGAUAAGUUAGCAGUGGGAAAUCGAGGCUCAACCUCGUGGAAGCUGGUAAUACUGUCAGGCUCGAGUGCAGGAGAGGUUAACGGAACUCCAUGUGGAGCGGUAAAAUGUGUAGAUAUAUGGAAGAACACCAAUAACGGCGAAGGCAGUUAACUAUUCUGUUACUGACAUUGAGGCACGAAAGCGUGGGGAGCAAAACGG
rnacentral:rRNA from 1 species